UGGAUGAUGGAGUGAGGCUACCUAUGCAAGACUUGAAGCGGCUUGAAGUGGAAAACCAUCAGCUUAUUAAGCAGCAAGAUCACAGCAGCAAGCUGUUUAAGCAUCAACGAGAACAGAUUGAGAGACUGACCUCACAACUCAUGUCUACCAGCACAACACUGCAGAAGAAAAGAG